rnacentral:lncRNA from 1 species
CAGUGAUGGAUUCAAGCCUCGUGAACGAAGCGGUGGGGAGCAGGCACAGGACUGGGAUGCUCUGCCACCCAAGCGGCCCCGACUAGGGGCAGGAAACAAGAUCGGAGGCCGUAGGCUUAUUGUGGUGCUGGAAGGGGCCAGUCUGGAGACAGUCAAGGUAGGGAAGACAUAUGAGCUACUCAACUGUGACAAGCACAAGUCUAUAUUGUUGAAGAAUGGACGGGACCCUGGGGAAGCGCGGCCAGAUAUCACCCACCAGGUAACUCCAGGGACAGUGCUCACAACCCUUUGAGCCUCUGUAUGGAAGGGUUGGCAGCUGAGUGCUGCCUCUCUUCAGCCUUAACCAUGUCUCGGUUUCUGCUUUGCUCAGAGUUUGCUGAUGCUGAUGGAUAGUCCCCUGAACCGAGCUGGCUUGCUACAGGUUUAUAUCCAUACACAGAAGAAUGUUCUGAUUGAAGUGAAUCCCCAGACCCGAAUUCCCAGAACCUUUGACCGCUUUUGUGGCCUCAUGGGUAAGAAGCCUUAGAACAAAGUUAGAAUGAACUUGUCAGUAGGGAAGAAGGGAGGAAGAGGAAAAGGGAGAACUAAAUGUGGAUUUUUAAGCGAGAAAAUGGGAGAACAACAUGAUUAAUACCAGGACAAGGACUGUUAUUAUUUUUCUAUGUUUGUGGAAACUCCACUCCUGUUCUUGCAGUAGCUUCCUGGCUGAGUGAAAGAGGG